UGACAGAAACAGAUCUACGUGGACCGUCCCUUUUUGCUCUCCUGCAUGAUAUCCUGGGUACUAUUGUGAUCGUGCUGAUGAUCCUCGGAGCUGGACUGUACCUUUGGAAGAGACGUGGGAAGAAGAAGAGUUUGGAAUCUGUGAAAGGCAGGCUGUGUUUCUCCUUCCUGUGCCCAGAAACCUCCCUCCCCUGUUCAACCCCGGACACCCGUUCUCCUGCAUUUUGCUGCUCAGAGAAUAUCCCUGCAGGAGGCUGGCUGGUGUGGCCAUGGCCAUGGAGUCAUGGAGUGGGGGAAGGUCCAGGUUUCCAGGCUUAGAAUCAAGCUCCAUCUGUGUAUGACGCAGGUGCAGGAUCACAGAAGGGGCACGUGGACCCAGAUGGUGGCAUCCACUAUGCAGAUCAGACCCAUCAGGAGUCUGGAAACCACAGGGGCAAGGGUAGGGGUGCACCUCAUCUAGAAGAGGAGAAGCUUCUCACUACUGUCUACAGUGAGGUCCACAAACCAGGCCAGGCUGUAAGGAGGAUUUAAUGGGAAGAAGCAGGAGAAUCCCGCCCUCCGGGGACACCUGCUUGUGAGCCUGAUGCCCACAGCUCAGGUCCUGCCUCCUCCCCCUCUCACUGCUCUGAGCAGGGACUGUGUGGAUCCAACCAUCAGUUAUUUCUAUGCUAAAUCGUUCUGCAUAAUUUCGCCAUGAGACACACACAGUGGUAGAUCAGGGGGAAACUGAGUAAAUAAAUUGGUACAAACCUGUU